rnacentral:lncRNA from 1 species
GGGUCUUGGUGAACUUCCCGACGGCUCGAAUCGUCUUUCUCCAUGUUCAUUGGCCUUCGAAGUGGAUGCCCUUCAGUAAGUUCUUCAAAUCCAUAGCAAUGAAUGUCGAUAUAUCUGAGUAUUUGCUUUUCAUAUACGCACACCUGCUGCAGCAGAAACAUAAGCUUACAAAUUGGAUCUUUCGCUGAAACAUACUGGCUACUGCUUCUGUUCCAAAGCCAACAUAAAAGAGCUAAAUGAUUUCAAAUUCUAGGAAACAUCUCUUACGUGACUUAGCAGAAAAGGCGUUCCGAUAAAAGAUCAGCUGCUGAUAUUUGUUAUUUCAGUAGACUAAUUGAAACUUUUCGCUGUUCCUUUUGCUAUCAGACAAAAACGUUAAGAAAUUAUUGAUGAUAUUGCUGAUUAGAUUCUUUUACAACACCUGCAGUGGGCGGUAAAGUUUCACACAAGUUAGCAAAUGAACAAGAGCAGGAAUUGCACAGAAGAAAUGAGAGGAACGAAAUGCUCAAAUUGAUGUGUCGGUACAAACGCAUCUGUACGAGAAGAAAGGUACUAUCUAUUGUUUGCUUUGCACGAGAAUUUCUUCUAUUACCAAACAUACUCUUCGUAUAAACUUGACGCAUUGGUUGCGUUCAAAAACAACUAAUUUUUUCUAUUAUGAUACCAGAGGAAGAGAUUUGUACGUGAGGCUAACAUUUACUUGUAAAUACGCAGGUGAAGUUAGAGUACGUAAAUGAUGAAAAUGUUCUAAGAGGUAUUAUAAAUCUUGUGAAAACAUUUCGAGUAAAGAGAUUGGUUACAGCUUCAAGGUAAUAUGAAAUUAAAGACGUUAUGUUCCUAUGGUUCUUGCUUUUCAGCUUUCUAAAUUUAGGCAUGCGCAAUUGAUAUUUGUUAAGACGAAAAGGAAGUAAAAUUCAUGCUUUCCUGGCAUCCAUUGAUCGGUUAACUCUCUAAACUUAAAUAUGACGAAAGUGCGCGGUAAGGCAAAUACACUCACCUGAUCUUACUGGGUUCAGAAACUCGAAUGAGAUGAUGAGUUGACAUGCAGAUCCAUGUCGAAGCAAGCUGAACUGCUCGAAUGCUGCCAGAUAUGGCUGGUCCGCGAUGGAAAUCACAUCUCCACCAGGUAGGCUCGAUAUUCAAAAGAGCAGCCAUUGCUCCAAAUUAGUUGCUCUCAAUUUCUUGUUUUCUUUCUUCAUCCAGACUGUCACCAAAACUUUUUUCAGUACAAGGGACUAUAUGCAGAGAAUUCAGUUUUUCAAAGGUCAUAAAUAGAAAUCCAGAAUUGCAGAAAGAUAGUAUAUGAGUUUCUCACAGGCGUAUAAAUGAAACUUUCAACAUUUCUUGUGCAGCGGAGCUAUUCGAGAAGAUACUGAGACAAAAGUUGAGAAUGAAGAAAGUCAAGAAUUGUCUAUACCUGCACUGGAGCCAUUAACCAAUGAAUCUGAAGCAUACGCAGCGAAUGAAUCUGAAGCAUACGCAACGCCGUCGAGUGAUCUGGUGCCGACUUAUCAUUAGCUAUCCUCUAAAGAGAAUACCAUAAGCACCGCUUGUCACAAACAUUACGUGUAUGAUGAAAAGGAAAAAAUAAUCAUGAUUUAAAACUCCGGAUUUUGAGAAGCUUCUAAUUUUUGGAGUAGCGAAGCAAUUCCAAAAUGCAGGCUAAACAGUGGAGUAUGCUCACGUAGCAAACUCCACAUCACGGAAGCUGAUGGAAACAUUAUGUGCGAGGAUUGAAUAAAACUUAAUCACAACCAUCUUAUAAAUCUGAUUAUGCAGGAUGAUGAAAUACCGAGUGAUCAAGAUGAGAUUCACACUCUCACAGACAGAAGUUUAUGUCACUCGGACGUGAGUCAGAAAACUGAGACCACAGUUCGCGAAAACGAAUCGCCAUCGGUAUCUAAUGUUCCAGAACUCAAUUUAAUUUUACAGACACCUACUUUAACCCGUGUAUGUGUGAGAGCGUAUAGCGAGAGAAAGGGAGAGAGCAAAUGGUAUGGAGGUCGUUUUUAGUCUAAAAUACUACUGUCUGCCAAACAGAAAAUAAACAAAAAUUUAUAGUUCACCUGAAAGUAAACAUCUGUAUGGACUUGAGUCUUUCAUAUAUUAUUAACUUAUGUUAUUUGCUUUGAAGGAAAGCAACACCACAACUGAUGAGAGUGGAGGCGAGAUGUUUUCUGAAGAAGCUCCAGAUCGCCCGGUUAAGCAUAAGAGCUUCAGGAAUGAUGCAGCUGAAGUCCAAUUACUAUGGGUAAUUCUCUCCCACCAAUUUGCUUGGCCCAACAACUGGAAACUUAUACGGUUUGAGCAUGUCACAAAGAAAGCAUCAACUAAAGAUAAAACCACUUCAAUUACUAUGGUUCUAUAAAAAUGAAUAUUGAAACAAGAAAUUUGGUGAUUAUGUAAGCAUUAGUUUACGGAUGGAGGAACUGAUGCUCCAAUUGAUUAAAAUGUCGAAAAUUUCUGGCAACCUAAACAAUCAGAACAUAUCGUCUUUUGCAGGCAGAGGUUAAACAGCUUAAAAGAGAGGUCAAGAAGUUAAAGAUCCGUCUAAAGAACGAAAGUAGUAUAGCAAGCAAAGGAAAGGCCGUGUUCUCAGAGCAGAAGUUAAAAGGUGUUGGAGACAACCCAAAUCCACCAAUUCC